GGUCCUGUAGUUUAACGGUAAAACACCCGGCUUAUAAGAGAGCGAUGUGGGUUCGAAUCCCACCGGGACCACCA
rnacentral:tRNA from 1 species